AUGGCGGACAUGUGAUAGCUAUGAACAGCUGAUCGGAUCUGCUCUUAAUGUUUUUGUUGCUGCGGCGCUUUUUACACCAUUAGUGGAACCAAACAAGCUGAGUGCAUGUUAUGAGUGUGAGUCAUGCUGGUGUGCUCCUCCCGGCUGGGUGAGGAGGUGACAGUAACACAGAUACGGGAGCAGCAGCAGAUCCUCCCCGCUGUUACAAACUAAUGACGACGUCACGUCUGUCUGAUGACCUGCUGCGCGCAGGUGCUGCUGUUAGCUCCGUCCUCUUAUUUAAAGAGAGCGGGGAGGGGUUCCUCUCCCUCUGAGGAGACGAGGAUGUGCAGCGUGCUAUGCUAGGAGAGGACACAGGGACAGCAGAGGAGACGUUCCUCUGAAUCAGAGGAGGACGAAUCGGGGCACCAACCACAGAGAAACCCCCGACCUGCUCUCACAACCCCGAGAAAAGCUCACAGCUCGUCUGUAUUCAGCCGGCGGGACAGCGAAUGCUGAGAAGUGACGUCAGGAUUUAUCUGAAGACUCUCAUCCAUCCAUCAGUUCCUUUUACAGGAAGGGUUCAGUCUCCUGACUUACAGGAAUCACGCUGCACAAUGCAUACAAAAUGUACCAGGGUUUAUUUUUCCAGCCUGAUAGUCCUGCAGAGAUCACAAACUUUCGCUGCUUCGUCUUAGCCAAUCACUGACUGUCAUCUCUGCAUCCCUGCACGCCCUCCUGACCCCGCCCUCUCACCGAGCUGUGGUGAAAGCAGGGCAGAUAUUUGCCAGAAAUAACACGAUGUCACUGAAAUCUGAUGCAUUUAAAUGCGAAUGAGAAUUUCAAACUUGUGCCUCCUCGAUCGCUCUCUCACACUCUUAGUUUAAAGAUUAGAGCCUAAAUCCAUUUCUUCAGUUAGGCUGAGGCGCUCUUUAACCACCGACAUGUUGGUCCCUAACGUCCCAAAAUAUACCUGGUUACUAAAAACAUGUACUUAAACAUAAUAUUUCAGAUCAAUCAGUCUGGAUUUUUACUAUUCUCGGUUUUAGUCAGAAAUCUCCCCGUCAGAGUUCGUCCCGUCGACACUCUCCAGGUUUUCACAGAGUGUUUGUUUAUCGUUGUUAUUCAGACCCUGAUUUAUAGACCGAUUCUUCCUCCCCAGGUCAGACACUGUUUUCUGAUUUGUACAAAGACACCUGCAGUAAAAAGCUUUCGCUCUACGGUGUGAACAAAAUGAAGAAUUUGAACUUGGAAAUUCAUUCACGUCACAGUUACUGUAGUUUUAUAUUUGUCAUCAGUUUUUAUUGGAGAGAAAUGUGUGCGUUUUAUUCAAUCUGAGAUUUAAGAUGAUUAGAGUUCUUAU